UACGUAGGGGGCUAGCGUUGUCCGGAAUCAUUGGGCGUAAAGCGCGUGUAGGCGGUCCGGUAAGUCCGCUGUGAAAGUCGGGGGCUCAACCCUCGGAUGCCGGUGGACUACUGUCGGGCUUGAGUACGGAAGAGGCGAGUGGAAUUCCUGGUGUAGCGGUGAAAUCGCGGCAGAGUAUCAAGGAGGAACACCAAUUGCGAAGGCAGA
rnacentral:rRNA from 1 species